rnacentral:misc_RNA from 1 species
GAUGAAGAACGUAGCGAAAUGCGAUAAGUAAUGCGAAUUGCAGAAUUUCCGUGAGUCAUCGAAUCUUUGAACGUACAUUGCGCGCACUGGUUUUCCGGUGGGCAUGCCUGUUCGAGCGUCAUUAUCCUCCCUCAAACCCCGGGUUUGGUGUUGGACCCAAGUUGUGUGAACAACUGGUCUUAAAGACAAUGACGGCGUCCGUGGGACCCUCGGUGCAACGAGCUUUUAGGAGCACGCAUCGAGUUGCAAGGACCUUCCGGGCCGGUCUCCUUUACUAUUUUACAAGGUUGACCUCGGAUCAGGUAGGAAUACCCGCUGAACUUAAGCAUAUCAAUAAGCGGAGGA